rnacentral:rRNA from 2 species
GAAGAUGGCUUCGGCUAUCACUUUUGGAUGGUCCCGCGGCGUAUUAGCUAGAUGGUGGGGUAACGGCUCACCAUGGCAAUGAUACGUAGCCGACCUGAGAGGGUAAUCGGCCACAUUGGGACUGAGACACGGCCCAAACUCCUACGGGAGGCAGCAGUAGGGAAUCUUCCACAAUGGACGAAAGUCUGAUGGAGCAACGCCGCGUGAGUGAAGAAGGGUUUCGGCUCGUAAAACUCUGUUGUUAAAGAAGAACAUAUCUGAGAGUAACUGUUCAGGUAUUGACGGUAUUUAACCAGAAAGCCACGGCUAACUACGUGCCAGCAGCCGCGGUAAUACGUAGGUGGCAAGCGUUGUCCGGAUUUAUUGGGCGUAAAGCGAGCGCAGGCGGUUUUUUAAGUCUGAUGUGAAAGCCUUCGGCUCAACCGAAGAAGUGCAUCGGAAACUGGGAAACUUGAGUGCAGAAGAGGACAGUGGAACUCCUGGUUAAGGG